GGUUAAGUGACUAAGCGUACACGGUGGAUGCCUUGGCAGUCAGAGGCGAUGAAAGACGUAGUAACUUGCGAUAAGCCCAGAUUAGGUAGUAACAACCAUUUGAGUCUGGGAUUUCUGAAUGGGGAAACCCACGUGCAUAAGCACGUAUCCUUACCUGAAUACAUAGGGUAAGGAGGCGAACCGGGGGAACUGAAACAUCUAAGUACCCCGAGGAAAAGAAAUCAACCGAGAUUCCGAAAGUAGCGGCGAGCGAAAUUGGACUAGCCCUUAAGCUUUACACGCGUUAGACGAACGGUCUGGAAAGUCCGACGAUACAGGGUGAUAGUCCCGUAGUUGACGACGUGUGUUCAGUGAAAUCGAGUAGGGCGGGACACGUGAUAUCCUGUCUGAAUAUGGGGGGACCAUCCUCCAAGGCUAAAUACUACUGACUGACCGAUAGUGAACCAGUACCGUGAGGGAAAGGCGAAAAGAACCCCUGUGAGGGGAGUGAAAUAGAACCUGAAACCGUGUACGUACAAGCAGUAGGAGCAGGCUUUGUCCUGUGACUGCGUACCUUUUGUAUAAUGGGUCAGCGACUUAUAUUCAGUGGCAAGGUUAACCAUCUAGGGGAGCCGUAGGGAAACCGAGUCUUAACUGGGCGUUCAGUCUCUGGAUAUAGACCCGAAACCAGGUGAUCUAGCCAUGGGCAGGUUGAAGGUUGAGUAACAUCAACUGGAGGACCGAACCGACUAAUGUUGAAAAAUUAGCGGAUGACUUGUGGCUAGGGGUGAAAGGCCAAUCAAACCUGGAGAUAGCUGGUUCUCCCCGAAAGCUAUUUAGGUAGCGCCUCGGACGAAUACUACUGGGGGUAGAGCACUGUUAAGGCUAGGGGGUCAUCCCGACUUACCAACCCUUUGCAAACUCCGAAUACCAGUAAGUACUAUCCGGGAGACACACGGCGGGUGCUAACGUCCGUCGUGGAGAGGGAAACAACCCAGACCGCCAGCUAAGGUCCCAAAUUACUACUAAGUGGGAAACGAUGUGGGAAGGCUCAGACAGCCAGGAUGUUGGCUUAGAAGCAGCCAUCAUUUAAAGAAAGCGUAAUAGCUCACUGGUCGAGUCGGCCUGCGCGGAAGAUGUAACGGGGCUAAGUAGUAAACCGAAGCUGCGGCAAUGUGCUUUUGCACAUUGGGUAGGGGAGCGUUCUGUAAGCGGUUGAAGGUGUGUGGUAACGCAUGCUGGACGUAUCAGAAGUGCGAAUGCUGACAUGAGUAACGAUAAAGGGGGUGAAAAACCUCCUCGCCGGAAGACCAAGGGUUCCUGUCCAACGUUAAUCGGGGCAGGGUAAGUCGACCCCUAAGGCGAGGCCGAAAGGCGUAGUCGAUGGGAAACGGGUUAAUAUUCCCGUACUUCUUACAAUUGCGAUGGGGGGACGGAGAAGGCUAGGUGGGCCUGGCGACGGUUGUCCAGGUUCAAGUGCGUAGGCUUAAGAGUUAGGUAAAUCCGGCUCUUUUUAAGGCUGAGACACGACGUCGAGCAUCUACGGAUGUGAAGUCAUUGAUGCCAUGCUUCCAGGAAAAGCCUCUAAGCUUCAGAUUGUAAGGAAUCGUACCCCAAACCGACACAGGUGGUCGGGUAGAGAAUACCAAGGCGCUUGAGAGAACUCGGGUGAAGGAACUAGGCAAAAUGGUACCGUAACUUCGGGAGAAGGUACGCUCUCGACGGUGAAGUCCCUCGCGGAUGGAGCUAUUGAGAGUCGCAGAUACCAGGUGGCUGCAACUGUUUAUUAAAAACACAGCACUGUGCAAAAUCGUAAGAUGACGUAUACGGUGUGACGCCUGCCCGGUGCCGGAAGGUUAAUUGAUGGGGUUAGACUUCGGUCGAAGCUCUUGAUCGAAGCCCCGGUAAACGGCGGCCGUAACUAUAACGGUCCUAAGGUAGCGAAAUUCCUUGUCGGGUAAGUUCCGACCUGCACGAAUGGCGUAAUGAUGGCCACGCUGUCUCCACCCGAGACUCAGUGAAAUUGAAAUCGCUGUGAAGAUGCAGUGUACCCGCGGCUAGACGGAAAGACCCCGUGAACCUUUACUACAACUUGGCACUGAACAUUGACCCUACAUGUGUAGGAUAGGUGGGAGGCUUUGAAGCACGUACGCCAGUAUGUGUGGAGCCGUCCUUGAAAUACCACCCUUGUAGUGUUGAUGUUCUAACGUCGACCCCUUAUCGGGGUUGCGGACAGUGCCUGGUGGGUAGUUUGACUGGGGCGGUCUCCUCCCAAAGAGUAACGGAGGAGCACGAAGGUGGGCUAAUCACGGUUGGACAUCGUGAGGUUAGUGCAAUGGCAUAAGCCCGCUUGACUGCGAGAAUGACAAUUCGAGCAGGUGCGAAAGCAGGUCAUAGUGAUCCGGUGGUUCUGAAUGGAAGGGCCAUCGCUCAACGGAUAAAAGGUACUCCGGGGAUAACAGGCUGAUACCGCCCAAGAGUUCAUAUCGACGGCGGUGUUUGGCACCUCGAUGUCGGCUCAUCACAUCCUGGGGCUGAAGUCGGUCCCAAGGGUAUGGCUGUUCGCCAUUUAAAGUGGUACGCGAGCUGGGUUUAGAACGUCGUGAGACAGUUCGGUCCCUAUCUGCCGUGGGCGUUGGAAGAUUGAAGGGGGCUGCUCCUAGUACGAGAGGACCGGAGUGGACGAACCUCUGGUGUUCGGGUUGUGUCGCCAGACGCAUUGCCCGGUAGCUAAGUUCGGAAUCGAUAACCGCUGAAAGCAUCUAAGCGGGAAGCGAGCCCUGAGAUGAGUCUUCCCUGAUACUUUAAGUAUCCUAAAGGGUUGUCGGAGACUACGACGUUGAUAGGUCAGGUGUGUAAGUGCUGUGAGGCAUUGAGCUAACUGAUACUAAUUGCCCGUGAGGCUUAACCAU
rnacentral:rRNA from 2 species